AAUAGACGAAGAGUUUGACGACUUUGAUUGAGAUUUCUUUUUCUUUUUUUUUCCGAAUACGUUAACCAAUUCGAACAUAUAAAAAGUGUGCUCAUAUCAUCUCAUUCAACCGAAUCAUAUAAAAACCCGAUCCGGUUGAAUCCGAAAGGUGGCGCCGUUAUCCACCGCCACUAUCACCACAUCUACCACCACAUCUACUCUCUGUUACCGUAUGCCACUACUUAUCGAAUUUUUAAUCGGGCGGGUACUUUUUUUUCUUUCAUUCUCUUCAUUUUUUACCCUCCUUAUUCGUUCGGGUAACGUUCGAAUAUUUUGGAACGCCAUCUUUUGAAAUCAGUUGGUACUAAUAAUCGAAGAUAUUGUUGUGGUUUUAAUGUACCAAUAAAAGAAUGAUUUGUAUCUUUGGCAAAUAAAUCAUAAACAUCAUAGCUAAUUGUUUCAUUCAAUUCAGAAAUAAUAAAAUUCGAUGAACACACUUACUUGUAU